rnacentral:rRNA from 1 species
CGCAACGCCGCGUGGAGGAUGAAGAUUUUCGGAUCGUAAACUCCUUUCGAUCGGGACGAAUCGGUCACGACCCAACACGUCGUGGCACUGACGGUACCGAGAGAAGAAGCCCCGGCUAACUCCGUGCCAGCAGCCGCGGUAAUACGGGGGGGGCAAGCGUUGUUCGGAAUUACUGGGCGUAAAGGGCGCGUAGGCGGCCUGCUAAGUCGGAUGUGAAAUCCCUCGGCUCAACCGGGGAACUGCAUCCGAUACUGGCGGGCUUGAAUCCGGGAGAGGGAUGUGGAAUUCCAGGUGUAGCGGUGAAAUGCGUAGAUAUCUGGAGGAACACCGGUGGCGAAGGCGGCAUCCUGGACCGGUAUUGACGCUGAGGCGCGAAAGCCA